CACAAUUCCAAGUUUACUCUCUAGUAGUUACAGCAGAAAAAUGUGAAGGUUCUGGAGUGGCCAUCACAGUCUCCUGACUUUAUUAUCAUCAAGCCACUCUGGGUAGAUCUCAAACGUGUGGUUCAAGCAAGACGUCCAUAGACUUUGUAUGACCUGGAGGUAUUUUGCCAAAAUGAAUGGGCAGCCAUACCACAUGCAAGAAUUAGGG